rnacentral:rRNA from 1 species
AGAGUUUGAUCCUGGCUCAGAACGAACGCUGGCGGCGUGGAUAAGACAUGCAAGUCGAACGAGAGAAUUGCUAGCUUGCUAAUAAUUCUCUAGUGGCGCACGGGUGAGUAACACGUGAGUAACCUGCCCCCGAGAGCGGGAUAGCCCUGGGAAACUGGGAUUAAUACCGCAUAGUAUCGAAAGAUUAAAGCAGCAAUGCGCUUGGGGAUGGGCUCGCGGCCUAUUAGUUAGUUGGUGAGGUAACGGCUCACCAAGGCGAUGACGGGUAGCCGGUCUGAGAGGAUGUCCGGCCACACUGGAACUGAGACACGGUCCAGACACCUACGGGUGGCAGCAGUCGAGAAUCAUUCACAAUGGGGGAAACCCUGAUGGUGCGACGCCGCGUGGGGGAAUGAAGGUCUUCGGAUUGUAAACCCCUGUCAUGUGGGAGCAAAUUGAAAAGAUAGUACCACAAGAGGAAGAGACGGCUAACUCUGUGCCAGCAGCCGCGGUAAUACAGAGGUCUCAAGCGUUGUUCGGAAUCACUGGGCGUAAAGCGUGCGUAGGCUGUUUCGUAAGUCGUGUGUGAAAGGCGCGGGCUCAACCCGCGGACGGCACAUGAUACUGCGAGACUAGAGUAAUGGAGGGGGAACCGGAAUUCUCGGUGUAGCAGUGAAAUGCGUAGAUAUCGAGAGGAACACUCGUGGCGAAGGCGGGUUCCUGGACAUUAACUGACGCUGAGGCACGAAGGCCAGGGGAGCGAAAGGGAUUAGAUACCCCUGUAGUCCUGGCAGUAAACGGUGCACGCUUGGUGUGCGGGGAAUCGACCCCCUGCGUGCCGGAGCUAACGCGUUAAGCGUGCCGCCUGGGGAGUACGGUCGCAAGAUUAAAACUCAAAGAAAUUGACGGGGACCCGCACAAGCGGUGGAGUAUGUGGCUUAAUUCGAUGCAACGCGAAGAACCUUACCUGGGCUUGACAUGUAAUGAACAACAUGUGAAAGCAUGCGACUCUUCGGAGGCGUUACACAGGUGCUGCAUGGCCGUCGUCAGCUCGUGUCGUGAGAUGUUUGAUUAAGUCCAGCAACGAGCGCAACCCCUAUUGCCAGUUACCAGCACGUGAAGGUGGGGACUCUGGCGAGACUGCCCAGAUCAACUGGGAGGAAGGUGGGGACGACGUCAGGUCAGUAUGGCCCUUAUGCCCAGGGCUGCACACGUACUACAAUGCCCAGUACAGAGGGGGCCGAAGCCGCGAGGCGGAGGAAAUCCUAAAAACUGGGCCCAGUUCGGACUGUAGGCUGCAACCCGCCUACACGAAGCCGGAAUCGCUAGUAAUGGCGCAUCAGCUACGGCGCCGUGAAUACGUUCCCGGGUCUUGUACUCACCGCCCGUCA